rnacentral:rRNA from 1 species
GUGGGGAAUCUUGCGCAAUGGGCGAAAGCCUGACGCAGCCAUGCCGCGUGAAUGAUGAAGUUCUUAGGAUUGUAAAAUUCUUUCACCGGGGACGAUAAUGACGGUACCCGGAGAAGAAGCCCCGGCUAACUUCGUGCCAGCAGCCGCGGUAAUACGAAGGGGGCUAGCGUUGCUCGGAAUUACUGGGCGUAAAGGGCGCGUAGGCGGACAGUUUAGUCAGAGGUGAAAGCCCAGGGCUCAACCUUGGAAUUGCCUUUGAUACUGGCUGUCUUGAGUACGGGAGAGGUGAGUGGAACUCCGAGUGUAGAGGUGAAAUUCGUAGAUAUUCGGAAGAACACCAGUGGCGAAGGCGACUCACUGGCCCGUUACUGACGCUGAGGCGCGAAAGCGUGGGGAGCAAACAGGAUUAGAUACCCGAGUAGUCC